AUACGGAGGGUGCAAGCGUUAUUCGGAAUCACUGGGCGUAAAGGACGCGUAGGCGGGUUGGCAAGUCAGACGUGAAAUCCUACAGCUUAACUGUAGAACUGCAUUUGAAACUGCUAACCUAGAGUAUGAGAGGGGGAGAUGGAAUUAGUGGUGUAGGGGUAAAAUCCGUAGAUAUCACUAGGAAUACCGAAAGCGAAGGCGAUCUCCUGGAACAUAACUGACGCUAAGGCGUGAAAGCGUGGGGAGCAAACAGAAUUAGAAACCCUGGUAGUCC
rnacentral:rRNA from 1 species